GUUGAUCCCGCCGGACCCCACUGCUAUCGAGGUGGGACUAAGCCAUGCUAGUCGAACGAACAGAACUAUGUCUGUAAGUGGCAUACUGCUCAGUAACACGUAGCUAACCUACCCUUAGGACGUUGAUAACCCCGAGAAAUUGGGGCUAAUAGGCGAUAGGUGUGAUGUCCUGGAAUGGUGUCACGCCCAAAGGUAUCCCAUACAUGUUUGGUAUACGCCUAAGGAUGGGGCUGCGGCCGAUCAGGCAGUUGGUGAGGUAAUGGCUCACCAAACCUUUGACCGGUACGGGCCAUGAGAGUGGUAGCCCGGAGAUGGACACUGAGACAAGGGUCCAGGCCCUACGGGGCGCAGCAGGCGCGAAACCUCCUCAAUGCACUAACGUGCGAAGGGGUUACCUCGAGUGCCACCUGAAGAAGGUGGCUUUUCCUUGGUCUAAAAAGCCUCGGGAAUAAGAGGGGGGCAAGACUGGUGUCAGCCGCCGCGGUAACACCAGCCCCUCGAGUGGUGGGGAUGAUUAUUUGGCCUAAAGCGUCCGUAGCCGGCCGGGUAAGUCUCCCGUUAAAUCCAGCGUCUCAAGCGUUGGACUGCGGGAGAUACUGCCUGGCUAGAGAGUGGGAGAGGUCAGCGGUAUUCUGGGGGUAGGGGCGAAAUCCUUUGAUCCCCGGAGGACCACCAGUGGCGAAGGCUGCUGACUAGAACACGUCUGACGGUCAGGGACGAAAGCUGGGGUAGCGAACCGGAUUAGAUACCCGGGCAGUCCCAGCCGUAAACGAUGCAUGCUAGGUGUUGGGUUGGCCACGAGCCACCCCAGUGCCGCAGGGAAGCCGUUAAGCAUGCCGCCUGGGAAGUACGAUCGCAAGGUUGAAACUUAAAGGAAUUGACGGGGGAGCACCACCAGGCGUGAAGCCUGCGGUUUAAUUGGAUUCAACGCCGGG
rnacentral:rRNA from 1 species